CUCAGAAGCCCCCUAGACCAUCACGGAUGCCGAGCUUUGGGUAACUCUCACAGUGGAAGGAAGAAUGAGAGAGGCGAAGAAGGUGCAGAAGAAAAAUUUGAAGCUAGCAGUUGUUGUUGGUUCAUGUAAAGAAAGAAGCAAUCUCCAUUACAUAAAAGUGCAAGGUGAAGCAGCAAGUGCUGAGGUAGAAGCUGCAAGAAGCUAUCCAGAAGACAUAGCUAAGGUAAUUAAUGAAGGUGGCUGUACUAAACAAUAUAUUUUCCAUGUAGACAAAACAGUCUUCUGUUGGAAGAAGAUGCCAUCUAGAACUUUCAUAGCUAGAGAGAAGAAAUCAAAGCCUGGCUUCAAAACUUCAAAGGACAGGCUGACUCUCUUGUUAGGGGCUAAUGCAGCUGGUGACUUUAAGUUGAAGCCAAAGCUAUUUACUAUUUUGAAAGUCCUAGGGCCCAUAAGAAUUAUGCUAAAUCCAAUCUACCUGUGCUGUAUCAAUGGGACAACAAAGCCCGAAUGACAGCACAUCUGUUUAUGGCAUGACUUCCUGAAUAUUUAAGCCCACUAUUGAGACUUACCACUUGGAAAAAAAGAUUCCUUUCAAAAUAUUACUGCCGACUGACAAUGCACCUGGUCACUCAAGAACUCUGACGGAGAUGUACAAGGAGUUUAAUGUUGGUUCUAUGCCUGCUAACACAACAUCCAUUCUGUAGCCUAUGGAUUAGGGAGUAAUUUCGACUUUCAAGUUUUAUUAUUGAAGAAAUAUGUUUCAUAAGGCUAUGGCCACCAUAGAUAAUGAUUCCUUUAAUGGAUCUGAGCAAAGUAAGUUGAAAUCUUAUGGAAAGGAUUCUCCAAUCUAGAUGCCAUUAAGAAUAUUUGUCAUUAAUAGAAGGAGGUCAAAAUAUGAAAAUUAACGGGAGUUUGGAAGAAGUUGAUUCCAUCCCCUGUGGAUGACUCUGAGGGGUUUAAGACUUCAGUGGAGUAAGUAUGUGUAAGAUGGGAUAGAGGUAGCAAGAGACCUGGAAUUAGAGGUGGAGCCUAAGGAUGUAACUGAAUUGCUGCGAUCUCAUAAUACAACUUUAAUAGGUGAGGAGUUCUUCUUAUGGAUGAGCGAAGAAACUGAUUCCUUGAAAUGGAAUCUACUCCUGGUGAAGAUGCCAUGAACACUGUUUUAAUGACAACAAAGAAUUUACAAUAUUACAUAAACUGAACUGAUAAAGCAGCAAGAGGGUUUGAGAUGAUUGAUUCCAACUUUGAAAGUAUUUUUAAAUUAAGGUUCCGUGAUGCGCUAAAGGAGAUACAGCCAGGCAAACCCCAAAUCUGAAACGUAUGCAUGAGGAAUAUAAAUAAGGGAUGGCAAAUGUGAUUUGCGGGGAGAAGAAAAGAGGAGAGAGGGCAGGUGACUUGCUGGUGGCUGUGGGAGGAGCUGUGGCCUGAGGCUGGGGAAGGACCUCCCAUUUCUUAGCAAUAUGAGACCAUCUAAUUACAGGAAAACAAGCUAGGGCCCCCACUGAUUCUACAUUAUGGUGAGUUGUAUAAUUAUUUUAUUAUCUAUUUCAAUGUAAGAAUAAUAGAAAUAAAGUUCACAAUAAAUAUAAUGUGCUUGAAUCAUCCUGAAACCAUCACCCCUGCCCCUGCCCACCCACCUUCCAUGUUUCCAUUGUCUUCCCUGAAACUGGUUCCUGGUGCGAAAAAGGUUGGGGACUGCUGCAUAAAGACACUUAUACUGGCCAACGAUGCGUACAUCUUGGCUGCUUCUAGGUUGUAUUGUUCACAUUUAAUCUAAAUUCUCCUCCUUUGUGUACAUACAACUUAAGGCUGCAGUACUCAGAAAGGAUGGAGAAUGGUUUGUCUUCACCUUCCAACAUUAUGUUUUGUGUUCACGAACCUUCAUUUCAAAUGACAGGCAGGUGGGAGAUGAAAGUAUCCCCAACAUAUUAAAGGAAAGCAGAAUCACAGAGAAGGUUGACAGUUGUACUAUGACAGACACCCAGUAGGUGGACUAAAUGAUUAGAAGACCUGGAGGUAUACUUCCAAACUUGAGCUUCUCUGAUUCUGCAAGCCUACACUUGCUUUCUUGAUAAUUUGCUUUUAAAAACUAAAUACCUGUAACCUGGAAUUACAGGAAAUACAGGUAUUUCCAUCAGGGUUGGCACAACAUUUAAGGAUCUAAUACCGAAAGAUAGAAUUUGUUGGUAAUUACGAAGAUAUUUAGUUUUAUCAACAAAUUGCCCAAUUCAGUUACAGUUCUAAGACUGGGUAGUGGGAGCAGGAAGGUAGAUACAUAAUAGCAAAUUAGGGUAACAUUAAAUGUCCUUAAAAGGCCAGCUGAAGCUGCCAAGGUCAAACUUUAUCAUGGGCUCUAUUUUGUGAACUGUGACCUCGCAAAGAAAAGUCAUUAGCUAACCAUACUCCAACAUAUGUGAGCUUAACACUGGUGAAGAGGAAGACUGGUUCCUCUCCAUAUACCGCUAAAGAAAAUGAGAGACAUUUCUAGUUCAGUGAGAAAAAUGCCCAAGUUGGCUGAAAGAUAAACACAAAUGUAUAAACACCUAAUGUUAUGGUCUAGCACAAAUUCCAAUGCCUGGUUUUUUUUCCCCAUAAUGCACCAAAUGCCCUCAAAAUUACUUUCUAUAAAACUUUAAUAUUAUAGAAUCAUAUCACUUACUAAUUAAUGAUUAGUAUAAUUCUUGAAAGGAAGGGUAGCAAAAAGCUAGUUAAGCCUCUGGGAGGCCUGUGGGAUUUAUAAAAGUCUUACAGAGCUUUGAAAGGCUAAGAACUCACAGAGCAUGGAACAAUCAGCACUAAUUGUGAAGGAUAAACUUCUUAUCCGUCUGCUUUUACUGUGGUUAUGAAAAAGUGGGUUUUUCUUGAAUUUAGCUAAGUAAUUGUUAAGCUCUUUGACUCUGGCUUAAGAUACCUUCUUUUAAAAAAAAAGCUUAUCAGCAUAAAAUAGCACACAAAGCAAUGAACAUUUGCCACAUGCUAGUCCCCUCUCUUGACUUAUUUCUAAUGACUAGGUCCCAUCAUAUUACAUCAAGCAAGACACCCUUUCAGCAGUUUCCCCUGAUUUUUAAUGAAAUCACACAAGAUAACUCAGUAUAAUUCGUCAUUAAAAAAUCAAUCUGGGCACCAUGGCUCAUGCCUGUAAUCCCAGCACUUUGGGAGGCUGAAGUAGGAGGACUGCUUGAGCUCGGGAGUUCGAGACCAGCCUGGGUAAUAGAGUGAGAACUCAUUUCUAUGACAAAUUUUAAAAAAUUAACUGAGUGUGGUGGCACGUGCCUGUAGUCCCAGCCACUUGAGAGGCUGAGGCAGGAGGAUCCCUUGAGCCUGGAAGUUGGAGGUUGCAGUGAGCCAUGAUCAUGCACUGUACUCCAGCCUGGGUGGCAGAGCAAGACUGUCUCAAAAAAAAAAAAAAAAAAAAAGAAAGAAAGAAAGAAAAGAAGAAAAGAGUAAGUGAAAAAGCACAAUGACAUUGUAUGUUCUCACUCGUAAGUGGGAGCUAAGCUAUGAGGAUUGCAAAGGUAUAAGAAUAAUACAAUAGACUUU